UACGUAGGGUGCAAGCGUUAAUCGGAAUUACUGGGCGUAAAGCGUGCGCAGGCGGUUGUGCAAGUCAGAUGUGAAAUCCCCGGGCUUAACCUGGGAACUGCCUUUGUGACUGCACGGCUAGAGUGUGGCAGAGGGGGGUAGAAUUCCACGUGUAGCAGUGAAAUGCGUAGAGAUGUGGAGGAAUACCGAUGGCGAAGGCAGCCCCCUGGGAUAACACUGACGCUCAUGCACGAAAGCGUGGGGAGCAAACAGG
rnacentral:rRNA from 1 species